UACGUAGGGUGCAAGCGUUGUCCGGAAUUAUUGGGCGUAAAGAGCUCGUAGGCGGUCUGUCGCGUCGAUCGUGAAAACUUGGGGCUUAACCCUGAGCUUGCGAUCGAUACGGGCAUGACUGGAGUUCGGCAGGGGAGACUGGAAUUCCUGGUGUAGCGGUGAAAUGCGCAGAUAUCAGGAGGAACACCGGUGGCGAAGGCGGGUCUCUGGGCCGAUACUGACGCUGAGGAGCGAAAGCGUGGGGAGCGAACAGG
rnacentral:rRNA from 1 species